CUGAACUUUUAAUAUACCCUAUUAUGACGAUUUCUCCACUGAAGCUAUAUAUGAUUUGAUUGUACACCUCUUUGAUAUAUCAUUUCGAUAACAUCUUUGUUCCUCAAUCUGAGAUGAUUUGAGAGAAGUGGUCAUAUUUCAGACCUCUAAGAGUUCACCAUUCCGAUC